rnacentral:lncRNA from 1 species
GCUUCUCGGGGUGCUUCGAAAUAUUACUACCGAACCGCAAUAAACAAAGAAAAAGAAGCACUAGGAGGGCCAGUGAAAGUUCAUGUUAGGCGGGUGCUUAACUGUUGGAUUCCGCGUUUGUAAAGAGUCGCAGAAGGCGGAGAGGAAGUGGUAAGAGACUACGGAAAGUUUUCUUCGAGAAGUCAAGCAGUCACAGCGGAGAUAUGAGGCACUUCAGCGACUGAGAAGACGGUGGCAUUAACGUCAGAGUCACGCGCUCACGAAGUGACGCAUGUAAAGUUGUUGGUAGAUGACGUUUUUAGGGAGAAGAGCCGUGCAUGGUACCGUACGGUGAGAAAUGGUAUACACAGUGGGACUCUGUACGAAACUGGAACCAAACUGCGGACACAGUGCACGGUAGCAGCACUCCACAAGUUAACAAGUAGUAGCAGAUGAAAACCCACCGACGAUGGAAGAAUGUUGUGGGGUUAAGGCUACGGUGUGUGUCACCCCGUUAAACCUCUGUGUUCGUGGUAAUACAAAGGUUAUUCAAGAGCAGACUCGGAAUAUACUGCAGCGUAGGAUGUUCCCGGUAAUUCGUUGCUUGCGGGUUUCACUAACCAAGAUGAGUUUGGGAAUUACAGCGUGACACAGAACAGGGCGGGUGUUCUCACACCGGCCGGCGAGGAAAGCGUGUGCGAGCGAAACGGUUGAUACGUGCAAUAGAUUCAAUGCUCGGAGAAGGCCAAACAAACACGAAUUUUGCAUGGUCACUUCGUGUAUAGCAGCAUCGCUGCUGAUGUGUCAGGUGUUUUGUGGCCAGGUACAGUUAUCCGAAAGUCGGCGCAAAGGAACCCAUGAGGCGUAUCCAAUGAAUCCUUUCGCCGUGUGCUCAGAAGUGGCACACCAGUACAGUUGUGAUAGACGUCGUGCUGUUUCUUGUUCAUAAACUGAUGGGUGCACUUCUGCCUGAGUAUCUGGAGAGAUGUAAUCAUCGACGAAGGCUUGCCGGUCUGCCCGCAUACACAUCGCGGUGGUGUCAUUUCAUUGAACUAACCGGAUGAGACAAUGCUUAGGAAAGAUGAAGUUUCUUGUUACAUGAGCUUCGUUGUUAAGGGGAAUGCAUACGUGGUCAGUGGCUAACUGCCACCUCAGCACUACUACACCUGGAGGCGCCUUGCAUCUCCUGUCUCACCCUUCGUUUUCCGUCUUUUGGUCAACGUUAACAGCCACCAUUAUCCAUUGGCAGGAAACCCCUGUGAGUCACAUAUUUGAGGAAGGUCUACCUCAUAAUUUGACAACGCGCAUUUUCUGUAAGUGGCUGUGUACCG